CACUUUGGGAGGCCGAGGCGGGCAGAUCAUGAGGUCAGAAGAUCAAGACCAUCCUGGCUAACACGGUGAAACCCCGUUUCUACUAAAAAUACAAAAAAUUAGCUGGGCGCAGUGGCGGGCAGCUGUAGUCCCAGCUACUCGGGAGGCUGAGGAAGGAGAAUGGCGUGAACCCGGGAGGCGGAGCUUGCAGUGAGCCGAGAUUGUGCCAUUGCACUCUAGCCUGGGUGACAGAGUGAGACUCCGUCUCAAAAAAAAAAAAAAAAAAGGAAAAAAAAAAGUGCUCAUUAUGUGGGGAUGGGAUGGGCUCUUUAGUUCGAACUGUUUCAGAACAGCACUUUUCCUCCAUGCCUUCAACUCAACAAGUGACCAUAUUCCAUCAAAAUGUGAAGUUGUUUUUUUAAACAAAUUUUGUCUCCUGUGUAGUUAUUUCUUAGUGAGUUGGUGGAGGGGAUCUUCCUCGUUGAGUCUUCAUGCAUUUGGUCUUUG
rnacentral:lncRNA from 1 species